rnacentral:rRNA from 1 species
GACGAACGCUGGCGGCGUGCCUAACACAUGCAAGUCGAGCGGAGAUGUACUGAAGAUUUAUCGGAUGUACAUCUUAGCGGCGGACGGGUGAGUAACGCGUGGGCAACCUGCCUUCCACUGGGGGAUAACACAGGGAAACCUGUGCUAAUACCGCAUGACAUCACAUAGGGCAUCCUGUGUGAUCAAAGGAGUGAUCCGGUGGAAGAUGGGCCCGCGUCCGAUUAGCUAGUUGGUGAGGUAACGGCUCACCAAGGCGACGAUCGGUAGCCGGACUGAGAGGUUGGCCGGCCACAUUGGGACUGAGACACGGCCCAGACUCCUACGGGAGGCAGCAGUGGGGAAUAUUGCGCAAUGGGGGGAACCCUGACGCAGCGACGCCGCGUGAAGGAAGAAGGCCUCGGUGUAACUCUUGAUGAGGACGAAGGAAGUGACGGUACCGUCAAAACAAGACCACGGCCGUAACUACGUCGCCACGCAGCCGCCGGUAACGUAAGUCACGUCG